rnacentral:rRNA from 1 species
CACGUAGUUAGCCGGGGCUUCUUAGUCAGGUACCGUCAUUUUCUUCCCUGCUGAUAGAGCUUUACAUACCGAAAUACUUCUUCACUCACGCGGCGUCGCUGCAUCAGGGUUCCCCCAUUGUGCAAUAUUCCCCACUGCUGCCUCCCGUAGGAGUCUGGGCCGUGUCUCAGUCCCAAUGUGGCCGUCCACCCUCUCAGGCCGGCUACUGAUCGUCGCCUUGGUGGGCCGCUGCCCCGCCAACAAGCUAAUCAGACGCGGGCCCAUCGCAUACCACCGGAGUUUUUCACACCAAGCCAUGCGGCUCUGUGCGCUUAUGCGGUAUUAGCACCUAUUUCUAAGUGUUAUCCCCCGGUAUGCGGCAGGUUGCCCACGCGUUACUCACCCGUCCGCCACUAGGGCAGGAUUCACUAGGUUUCCUCCUGCCCCCGUUCGACUUGCAUGUGUUAAGCACGCCGCCAGCGUUCAUCCUGAGCCAGGAUCAAACUCU